AUAAAACCAACAAAAUUCUCAAUCUAUUUUGUUGUAGCAAGUUGUCGGGUCAAAUUGAUACCAAAAGCUUGAGCCUUGGGAUUUUGAGGAAGCAAGCAAGAAAGAAGGAAGUAGAGUUCAUUAUAAAGAAUUUUCAAUCUUGCAAAAAUUUGAAGAGAGAGAAAGCGGUAAGUGGUAGUUUACUGUCAUUACUCAUUAGUUUUGAAAUUUUAGUUUGUCACCGGAAAGAAAAAUUAAAGGAAAAUUAAAUCCUAACUAUAGAAAGCGUUAAAUAACAUUUAUCAUUAUCACUUUAAAGUUUUAAAUUAGGAGACAAUUUUUUUAUUGGUCUGAACUACGAGGUAGUCCUGAGUGGACCCUAAUUAUGGGAGACACAUUUUAAGUCCGUACCACAAUUCAGACUAAUCUCCGCUCGCACCUGGUCAACCCGUAAGGGAUAAAGUGCUGAACAAAGUAGUGACUUCAUACGAGAGCGAAGCUUGAACCUCUAAUCUCUCUUAAGGAGUGAGAGUGUCAAACCACUCACACCAACCAACUUUGAUUAAAUUAGGAGAUGAUUUUAAUCCUAUAGAAAUAGGGUUGUAAUUUCAUAAUUAAUAUGGUACUCCAUCAUAUUUUAUCAACAAUAUUUCAAUUAAUUUUUUUUUCAACUAUUUAAUUUAUCAGUGAAUUCAUCAUUUUUCUGAGUAAAAAUUACAUUUUCUAAUAAAUUUAAAACAUACGCAAGCAAAGGCUGAUGUCAGUUUCACGCCAUGUCAAGAAAGGAAACAAAUAAUAGGUUUUAAACAUGUUUCAAAUACGAUUGGUCUUGUCAUGAACCUUGUUUCAACACGCUACGAGAAAGCAACAUGCUAUUCCACAACAAUUUUGCAAUGAAAUCUGCCACAAUUAGCGGUCAUCAUGCAAUGGGCUUGGGCCCCGCGUCCCGUACGUUAAGCAAAGAUCCACUCAAGGGUAUCUUUGACAUUUUAUCCUCCUUCGUUGUGGUUCUUAUUAAAUUAAAAAGAGAAGGCAGGUGUGUUUGAAUUAGAGAUGGCAAAAUCCUUGGGUUUGGGGCUCAUGGAGCUCCUCCCCAAAUAGAAAAAAUUUUGAAUAAUUUUUGGGGAAUGAAGUGGAGAGUGGAGGGAAAAUAAUACUUAAAUUCUUAAUGAGGUGGAGUUUGGUUUUGUACUCUCCACCCCACCCCCACCUCAAUCCCUA
rnacentral:lncRNA from 1 species